rnacentral:rRNA from 1 species
UACGAAGGGGGCUAGCGUUGCUCGGAAUCACUGGGCGUAAAGCGCGCGUAGGCGGCUUUGUAAGUUAGAGGUGAAAGCCCGGGGCUCAACCCCGGAACUGCCUUUAAGACUGCAUCGCUUGAAUCCGGGAGAGGUGAGUGGAAUUCCGAGUGUAGAGGUGAAAUUCGUAGAUAUUCGGAAGAACACCAGUGGCGAAGGCGGCUCACUGGACUGGUAUUGACGCUGAGGUGCGAAAACGUGGGGAGCAAACAGG